CUGAUUGUGGUGGAGGGUAUAAAAAAAAUUACCCUCUACAUUCCCUAUUAAAGAUAUAAAUGGUUUAAAUGAAAUAAAUAGAAGCAUUAGGGAAGAGAAUCGUGAAGCUUAUAUAAAUACAAUGAAGUCACUAUUGAAGGGGCGCCUACCGAAAACAUUAACUGAAAUAAUAUCAAUAAAUUUGUGCAUGGACAUAAAUUUGGAUGGAAUUCAUGGCAAAAGAAGAUUAAAAGACUUCGAGGUUUUCUUUCACACCUUGACAGAUGCCUGUCGAACACUUGGGUCUCAAGAUGUUGAAAAGGACAUACGAAACGCCUUAAAAAUAAUAAAAAACGUGCUAUUCAUGCGCAGUGCAUUAAAAA